UAUCAUGAGAAUAAAAAAUUAUUUUCCAGUGCAAUGGCUCUGAUGAAAAAAAUAGUAAUAAUUUUUUUAAAAAUUAGAAUUGUUAAGACAUAACCAGUGGGGAUAAUGGAAUCCAUGCUCUUGCUUUCCUCCACACCUAAAUUCAGUAACGGCUCCAAAAUGGUUAGGAAAACCUGCCUCCCAAGUAGUUGAGAUUACAGGUAUGCACCAUCAUGCCUGGCUAAUUUAUUUAUUUAUUUUGAGACAGAGUCUCACUCUGUCGCCCAGGCUGGAGUGCCGUGGUGCGAUCUCAGCUCACUGCAACCUCUGCCUCCCGGGUUCAAGCAAUUCUCCUGCCUCAGCCUCCUAAGUAGCUGGGAUUACAGGCCACUGCACCCAGCUGAAAAGAACUUCUUUAGAGAAGAACACACAAAACAAAUACUAAUC
rnacentral:lncRNA from 1 species